CUCUCUUUACUAGCUCCACAACAGCAAACACAUAGAAAAAAAAGAACCAAUCACAAGAGAGUAGGAUGUACAUGAAGUGUAAUGACCUAAGCACUUCCUCUUUCAGAAAGCGACAUCAAGCAGAAGCAAACAUAUAACAAGCAAUAACAAUAACUCCUAAAUCCAACAUCCGAAGGAGUAAACUUGCCGAGAAUUUCACACGAACAACCAAAACGUCUUCAGGGACGAAUCCAACUGAAAAGAGAAUGUGUGACAGGUUUAGACAGAUAGUCAUGAACGUGGAAACCCAAGUAACACACAGUAUGCAUCAUUUCAUAGUAGGAACGGGUAAACUACAAUCUGAUAACUGAACAACAAUCACAUAAAACUCCAAUGGAAAUAAAACCAUCAAUCCAUACACAAAGACCCAUGAG